rnacentral:tRNA from 1 species
GCCUGGGAGGCUCAGUCGGUAGAGUGACUGACUUCAGCUCAGGUCAUGAACUCGGGGUUUGUGAGUUCAAACCCCACAUCAGGCU